rnacentral:rRNA from 1 species
AGGACGAACGCUGGCGGCGUGCUUAACACAUGCAAGUCAAGGGGGUCCGGGGGCAACUCCGGAUAACCGGCGAACGGGUGCGUAACACGUGAGCGACCUGCCGAUCUGCGGGGAUAGCCGGCCCAACGGCCGGGUAAUACCGCAUACGCUUGGUUUGGGCAUCCCUUGCCAAGGAACUUCCGGGCGGAUCGAGGGCUCGCGGCCUAUCAGCUAGUUGGCGCGGUAACGGCGCACCGAAGGCGACGACGGGUAG